ACGGAGGAUUCAAGCGUUAUCCGGAUUUAUUGGGUUUAAAGGGUGCGUAGGCGGUUUGAUAAGUUAGAGGUGAAAUCCCGGGGCUUAACUCCGGAACUGCCUCUAAUACUGUUAAACUAGAGAGUAGUUGCGGUAGGAGGAAUGUAUGGUGUAGGGGUGAAAUGCUUAGAUACCAGAGAGAACACCGAUUGCGAAGGCAGCUUACUAAACUAUCUCUGACGUUGAGGCACGAAAGCGUGGGGAGCAAACAG
rnacentral:rRNA from 1 species